rnacentral:sRNA from 1 species
CUUUAGGAUACAGAGAUAUUGUGAAUUUCAUUAUUUGAGUUAAACCCUCUUUUAUACCCUCAGAGAUA